UACGUAGGGUGCAAGCGUUAAUCGGAAUUACUGGGCGUAAAGCGUGCGCAGGCGGGUAUGCAAGACAGAUGUGAAAUCCCCGGGCUCAACCUGGGAACUGCAUUUGUGACUGCAUAGCUAGAGUACGGUAGAGGGGGAUGGAAUUCCGCGUGUAGCAGUGAAAUGCGUAGAUAUCUGGAGGAACACCGGUGGCGAAGGCGGCAUCCUGGACCAACACUGACGCUGAGUGAGCGAAAGCCAGGGGAGCAAACGGG
rnacentral:rRNA from 1 species